AAGGAGGAAGCCACAAGCCAGCAGGGACUGCUAAUUCCUGCCACCGAGUCUAAAACCUCGGCCCCCUUA
rnacentral:tRNA from 1 species